GGUGCAAGCGUUAAUCGGAAUUACUGGGCGUAAAGGGUCUGUAGGUGGUUUGUUAAGUCAGAUGUGAAAGCCCAGGGCUCAACCUUGGAACUGCAUUUGAUACUGGCAAACUAGAGUACGGUAGAGGAAUGGGGAAUUUCUGGUGUAGCGGUGAAAUGCGUAGAGAUCAGAAGGAACACCAAUGGCGAAGGCAACAUUCUGGACCGAUACUGACACUGAGGGACGAAAGCGUGGGGAUCAAACAGGAUUAGAUACCCUGGUAGUCCACGCUGUAAACGAUGAGUACUAGCUGUUGGAGUCGGUGUAAAGGCUCUAGUGGCGCAGCUAACGCGAUAAGUACUCCGCCUGGGGACUACGGCCGCAAGGCUAAAACUCAAAGGAAUUGACGGGGACCCGCACAAGCGGUGGAGCAUGUGGUUUAAUUCGAUGCAACGCGAAGAACCUUACCUGGUCUUGACAUCCUGCGAACUUUCUAGAGAUAGAUUGGUGCCUUCGGGAACGCAGUGACAGGUGCUGCACGGCUGUCGUCAGCUCGUGUUGUGAAAUGUUGGGUUAAGUCCCGCAACGAGCGCAACCCCUAUUGAUAGUUACCAUCAUUAAGUUGGGUACUCUAUUAAGACUGCCGCUGACAAGGCGGAGGAAGGUGGGGACGACGUCAAGUCAUCAUGGCCCUUACGACCAGGGCUACACACGUGCUACAAUGGGUAUUACAGAGGGCUGCGAAGGUGCGAGCUGGAGCGAAACUCAAAAAGGUACUCUUAGUCCGGAUUGCAGUCUGCAACUCGACUGCAUGAAGUCGGAAUCGCUAGUAAUCGCAGGUCAGAAUACUGCGGUGAAUACGUUCCCGGGUCUUGUACACACCGCCCGUCACACCAUGGGAGUGGGUUGCUCCAGAAGUAGAUAGCUUAACGAAUGGGCGUUUACCACGGAGUGAUUCAUGACUGGGGUGAAGUCGUAACAAGGUAGCCGUAGGGGAACCUGCGGCUGGAUCACCUCCUUAA
rnacentral:rRNA from 1 species